UACGUAGGGAGCAAGCGUUGUUCGGAUUUACUGGGCGUAAAGGGCGCGUAGGCGGCGCGGUAAGUCACUUGUGAAAUCUCUGAGCUUAACUCAGAACGGCCAAGUGAUACUGCAGUGCUAGAGUGCAGAAGGGGCAAUCGGAAUUCUUGGUGUAGCGGUGAAAUGCGUAGAUAUCGAGAGGAACACCUGCGGCGAAGGCGGGUUGCUGGGCUGAUACUGACGCUGAGGAGCGAAAGCGUGGGGAGCGAACAGG
rnacentral:rRNA from 1 species